UCAUCUGUGCUAGAAACACUGCCCGCCCAGUGCCACGAAUUGUCACAAUACCCUCCAAUGAGAGCAAACAAGAACCUUCCAUCAACAACCCCAAAAUCUCUGUCACGAGGGGCCAUGGAGGGUCACCUCUCGUGCCACCUGAUGGACCAUGUGACCUUCAUAGGGUAAACGGACACAACCUUUGACACCUCUCCUGUUCUGGUCAUGCUGCGUGGACAAAGGGGGGCCUACUCUGGACACGUCAGUAGACGAUCCAUCACUCUUCUCCUUUGCGAUCUUUGUGAGUCCUCUGUCUCCAUCACCACCGUGACCUCCUUCUGCCUGAUGGGAUAUAAGCCAUGGGAGG